rnacentral:rRNA from 1 species
AUACGUAGGGUGCAAGCGUUAAUCGGAAUUACUGGGCGUAAAGCGUGCGCAGGCGGUUUUGUAAGACAGUGGUGAAAUCCCCGGGCUCAACCUUGGAACUGCCUUUGUGACUGCAAGGCUAGAGUACCGCAGAGGGGGAUGGAAUUCCGCGUGUACAAGCGAAAUGCGUAGAUAUGCGGAGGGACCCCGAUGGCGAAGGCAAUUCCCUGGGGCUGUACUGACGGUCAUGCACGAAAGCGUGGGGAGCAAACAGGAUUUGAUUCCCUGGUAGUUCACGCCCUAAACGAUGUCAACUGGUUGUUGGGUCUUCAUUGACUCAGUAACGAAGCUAACGCGUGAAGUUGACCGCCUGGGGAGUACGGCCGCAAGGUUGAAACUCAAAGGAAUUGACGGGG